CAGCAGUCGCCGCGGUAAUACGGAGGGGGCUAGCGUUGUUCGGAAUUACUGGGCGUAAAGCGCACGUAGGCGGGCUUUUAAGUCAGGGGUGAAAUCCCGGGGCUCAACCCCGGAACUGCCUUUGAUACUGGAAGUCUUGAGUAUGGAAGAGGUGAGUGGAAUUCCGAGUGUAGAGGUGAAAUUCGUAGAUAUUCGGAGGAACACCAGUGGCGAAGGCGGCUCACUGGUCCAUUACUGACGCUGAGGUGCGAAAGCGUGGGGAGCAAACAGGAUUAGAUACCCCUGUAGUCCCUGUCUCUUAUAC
rnacentral:rRNA from 1 species